GCGAGACGGGUGGCCCCGCGGCGGAGCGCGACCGAUAAACUGUUCCAGGACGACCGCCGGGCAGCAGCCCCGUCCCGUCCACCAAUGAUCAGCCAGCAGCCGCUGCAACCCCAGGGAG
rnacentral:sRNA from 1 species